GAUGAACGCUGGCGGCGUGCCUAAUACAUGCAAGUCGAGCGAACAGACGAGUAGCUUGUUGCUGUGACGGUAGCGGCGGACGGGGGAGUAGCAAGUGGAUAGCAUACCUAUAAGACUGGGAGAACUUCGGGAAAACGGAGCGGAUACCGGGUAAUAUACUGAACCUGAUGGUUGAUGAGUGAAAGACGGUUUUGGUGUCACUGGUGGAUGGGUCCGCGCCGUAUUAGCUAGUUGGUAGGGUGACGGCUUACCAAGGCAGUGAUGCGUAGCCGCCCUGGGAGGGGGGUCGGCCACACUGGAGGUGAGACACGGUCCAGAGUCCUACGGGAGGCGGCAGUAGGGAAUAUUCGGGAAUGGGCGGAAGCAUGCUGGAGCAACGCCGCGUGGGUGAUGAUGGUCUUCGGCUCGUAAAAAUCUUUUAUUGGGGAAGAACAAAUGUGUCAGUAUCUGUGGACGUCUUGACGGUACCUGAUCAGAAAGCCCCGGCUAACUACGUG
rnacentral:rRNA from 1 species